GUGGCGGACGGGUGAGUAACACGUGGGAACGUGCCCUUUGGUACGGAAUAACUCAGGGAAACUUGAGCUAAUACCGUAUGUGCCCUUCGGGGGAAAGAUUUAUCGCCAUUGGAGCGGCCCGCGUCUGAUUAGCUAGUUGGUGAGGUAACGGCUCACCAAGGCGACGAUCAGUAGCUGGUCUGAGAGGAUGACCAGCCACAUUGGGACUGAGACACGGCCCAAACUCCUACGGGAGGCAGCAGUGGGGAAUCUUGCGCAAUGGGCGAAAGCCUGACGCAGCCAUGCCGCGUGGAUGAUGAAGGUCUUAGGAUUGUAAAAUCCUUUCACCGGUGAAGAUAAUGACUGUAGCCGGAGAAGAAGCCCCGGCUAACUUCGUGCCAGCAGCCGCGGUAAUACGAAGGGGGCUAGCGUUGCUCGGAAUUACUGGGCGUAAAGGGCGCGUAGGCGGACAUUUAAGUCAGGGGUGAAAUCCCAGAGCUCAACUCUGGAACUGCCUUUGAUACUGGAUGUCUUGAGUGUGAGAGAGGUAUGUGGAACUCCGAGUGUAGAGGUGAAAUUCGUAGAUAUUCGGAAGAACACCAGUGGCGAGGGCGACAUACUGGCUCAUUACUGACGCUGAGGCGCGAAAGCGUGGGGAGCAAACAGGAUUAGAUACCCUGGUAGUCCAC
rnacentral:rRNA from 1 species